AUGGUUAAAAGUAAUAUGCACACAACUUUUCCCUUAGUUUACCGUCUGGUUGAGUUAGCAUUGAUUUUACCUGUUGCAACCGCAACUGUGGAAAGCGCAUUCUCAGCAAUGAGCAUUAUCAAGACCGGAUUGAGAAACAAAAUGGGUGAUGAUUGGAUGAACCAUAGAAUGGUAUGUUACAUUGAGAGUGAUGUAUUUGUUAGUAUCGAAGAAUCCAAGAUCAUUGAGCGAUUUCAAGGUUAUCGCACAUGUAAAGGUGUUUUGCCUCGUCCUACACGUAAGUUUUCACAUUUUGCAUCUAUUGUUAAUUAG
rnacentral:rRNA from 1 species